AAAUUACGCGGGAAAGCUUUCGGCAGCGCCAUUUCGGUGACGCGCUAUACAUAUCUGCGCGCUAUCUGCUCUGAUCGUUUGAUGAUACCAGUGUAUCCGAGCGAUGCUGACUUGAGUGUGAUUGUGUGAUUAACGCGGCAGUGCGACAAUUCAGCGCGAUCCAGACCAUCCACCAAGGAACUUGACAGGAGAAUUGAUUUUACGUUACGCACAUCUGACAGAAUCAGAGUUUGAUAACAUAGUCGCAGAAUGGUUACGAUUCGCCAAACAGAGGAAAGAAAGAGAUGGAAAAAAUAAAGAAAAA